UCUCCGUUGGUGAACCAGCGGAGGGAUCAUUACUGAGUGAGGGCUCCGGCCCGACCUCCAACCCCAUGUGAACUUACCAUUGUUGCCUCGGCGGAGCCUACCCUGUAGCUACCCUGUAGGGUGGUUACCCUGUAGCGCCCCGCCGGUGGAUUUUCAAACUCUUGUUAUUUUUAGUAAUCUGAGCGUCUUAUUUUAAAUAAGUCAAAACUUUCAACAACGGAUCUCUUGGUUCUGGCAUCGAUGAAGAACGCAGC
rnacentral:misc_RNA from 1 species